rnacentral:tRNA from 1 species
GUAAAUAUAGUUUANUAAAAACAUUAGAUUGUGAAUCUAAAGAUAGGAGCUAUUACCUUCUUAUUUACC